rnacentral:lncRNA from 1 species
UCUAAUAUAUAAUCCCUCACAUGCGCGUAUGAAACCGUCCAACAUCAAAGUCACUAACGUGUGCUUCGUAUCAAAGUUAACAUAGAUAAUAGAUGGAAAAAAAUGUACCAAGUACAGCACUGGAGCAAUCUACAGUUACAUUCAAGGUCCGAAACCUUCGGUCCUCUGGUCGGCAGUUGUCUGGUGCCCUAUGGGAAUUCCCCGACACAGCUUCCUUAUGUGGCUUGUGGUUCUUGAUCGUUGUCCUACUAAAGACAGGUUACUUCGUUGGGGUCUUCCUGGAGUAAACCCUAUCUGUCUCCUUUGUAACUCUCAACCAGAAAGUCGUGACCAUCUCUUCUUCCAGUGCUGCUAUAGUGAAACUGUGUGGAGGACGAUCACUCUUCGCUGUCAAUUCCAAUCACCUGCGGGAUGGGAACAAAACUUGAAUCAUAUGAUUCAGCUAAGGGGAAACAAAGAUUUGCGUCGACUUACUCUAAUGGCAAUCCAAGCAACCGUAUAUUGGCUUUGGAAUGAGCGUAAUAAGAGGCACCAUCAACACAUCUUCAGAACAACGGACUCCUUGAUCGAAGUUAUUGACAAACAAAUCAGGAACCGGAUUCAGAGCUUUAGGUCUUUAAAUCCGCGUGCAUGUUCGGCGAUGAUGCAAUUGUGGUUCGUAAACUC